UACGGAGGGAGCUAGCGUUGUUCGGAAUUACUGGGCGUAAAGCGCACGUAGGCGGCUUUGUAAGUUAGAGGUGAAAGCCCGGGGCUCAACCCCGGAAUUGCCUUUAAGACUGCAUCGCUUGAAUCCGGGAGAGGUGAGUGGAAUUCCGAGUGUAGAGGUGAAAUUCGUAGAUAUUCGGAAGAACACCAGUGGCGAAGGCGGCUCACUGGCCCGAUACUGACGCUGAGGCACGAAAGCGUGGGGAGCAAACAGG
rnacentral:rRNA from 1 species